rnacentral:rRNA from 1 species
GCAGCCGCGGUAAUUCCAGCUCCAAUAGCGUAUAUUAAAGUUGUUGCAGUUAAAAAGCUCGUAGUUGAAUUUCGGGAUCAAUUUAUCGGUCGUGCCAAUGGUAUGAACUGGUACAAUUGGUUUCUCCCUUCUGACGAAGCAUGAUGUCAUUAAUUUGGUGUCGUGGGGAAUCAGGACUGUUACUUUGAAAAAAUUAGAGUGUUUAAAGCAAGCAUUAGCUUGAAUACAUUAGCAUGGAAUAAUGAAAUAGGACGUUUGAUCCUAUUUCGUUGGUUUCUAGGAUCGACGUAAUGAUUAAUAGGGAUAGUUGGGGGCAUUAGUAUUCAAUUGUCAGAGGUGAAAUUCUUGGAUUUAUUGAAGACUAACUACUGCGAAAGCAUUUGCCAAGGAUGUUUUCAUUAAUCAAGAACGAAAGUUAGGGGAUCGAAGACGAUCAGAUACCGUCGUAGUCUUAACCAUAAACUAUGCCGACUAGGGAUCGGAUGAUGUUAAUUUUUUAAUGACUCAUUCGGCGCCUUACGGG